rnacentral:misc_RNA from 1 species
AUCAUCCCCUGUGAACUCAUUCCAUUCUGAAGACCAGUUUCUAUAUAAAGCCCAGAUUUGCCCCUUUCUAGGAAAUAUUUGAAUUGUAUCACCAAGACCUUUUGUCCAUCUGACCUUGUGUGAGAAGCAAUUAAUGGAGGUUCUAAUUUCAUGCCUGCCUCUUCUGAAAUCUCCACACGUUUUAGGAGCACCGGAAUUGACAGAGUUUAGUGAACACGUUCCACUAUUAUUUGAAUUUAACCAACUAACUCUGACCUUGAAAGGAUUUAGAGAAACCACCUCGAGAAUCAGGGCAUAAUAUCGAGGCAUCCCAUCACUGUCAUCAUAUGCAGCCCAGACCUGGUUAGGUCCAAAACAACUCUCUGUUCGAUCACUAUCAAAAUUGUGGAAAUCUGACUCAGUAACAUCUAUCAGCAUACACCCAGCAGAUUCAUUAUCUAAAUAAUUGUCAAAAGUUUCAGAACUAGACCUAUUUGCAAAGACUUUGGUUUCAGUUAUAAA